rnacentral:rRNA from 1 species
CAGUAGCCGCGGUAAUUCGUAGGGUGCAAGCGUUAAUCGGAAUUACUGGGCGUAAAGCGUGCGCAGGCGGUUUUGUAAGUUUGUCGUGAAAGCCCCGGGCUCAACCUGGGAAUUGCGAUGAAGACUGCAAGGCUUGAAUCUGGCAGAGGGGGGUAGAAUUCCACGUGUAGCAGUGAAAUGCGUAGAGAUGUGGAGGAACACCUAUGGCGAAGGCAGCCCCCUGGGUCAAGAUUGACGCUCAUGCACGAAAGCGUGGGAGCAAACAGGAUUAGAUACCCGCGUAGUCCCUGUCUCUUAUACC